AGCGGCUUCUACUCAGUGGCGGGGUGAUGUACAAUUCCCCCAACACAGCGUUUCUAUGUCGCUUUGGCAAUAUGGCUCACUAAGCAAAUGUCAAGCAGGUGUUUCCAGAGUGCCAUGAUUGCAUGCGUACCGCCUUUGACGAAAACAACAUUCAUACCGUCAUAUUGUUAUCAAGUGCUAUCGCUUACAACAAUAUGAUUGAAUGAAUGUCGUUAUAACGUGCCACCUGUGAACAAAACCACAAUGAUAAUUUUAUUUUUUUACAAUAUCACUUUAUAGCCCUUGUUAUUAAAGUAGCACUUAGUUACGCAUAUUCGCACAGAGACAACUGACCAUCGAAGGUUCGCGUAUUAUUCACUGGCCCCGUACUAGUUCAUUGAUACUCGCAAUGGCACCCAUAUUACUCUAAUAGUAGUAAAGAUCUAUCAGGAGGGCUGAAAACUGGGAGCCUUGGCGAUACGUUAUGAUUAAGCUGCAGCGCUUACGGGGAUGAGCAGACUUACUGCCCGUUUUCUUCCUAUUCGCCUGUGUUUGUCGGUGUGGGCGAUGCUGGUUGUGAAGUAGUACAAGUUGUUGUUCAAUUAUUUAUAGUGUCAGCUCAUUUCAGCUGCAUUGUUUUGUAAUAUAGAAAAGGUCUUGCAAUCAAUCGUCAAAUAUCUGUCUACCGAGGACCUGCUGGUUUGCCGUCGAGUGUGCCGGGUUUGGAAACGCAUCAUUGAGAGACCCCAGCACUGGCUCCACAUAAAACUCAAGCAUGCGAUCGUCUCCGCCCAGAUUUUCCGCGAAAUGGCAAGAUGGUGCUCAGCCGUCCAGAGCAUAUCGCUUGAAGCUCUUGAAGCGGCUUCUGGGGAUCUCAAGCAAGCGCCAGCCAACGCUAGGGCUCACCUUGAGCACGGUUUCGACGAGCUCCUGAAGGCUUGUUCCAAUACGCUGAAGGUGCUUACAAUCAUCGGCUGCGACAAUGUGCUUAC